rnacentral:rRNA from 1 species
UUUGAUCAUGCUCAGAUUGAACGCUGGCGGCAGGCCUAACACAUGCAAGUCGAGCGGAUGAAGGGAGCUUGCUCCUGGAUUCAGCGGCGGACGGGUGAGUAAUGCCUAGGAAUCUGCCUGGUAGUGGGGGAUAACGUCCGGAAACGGGCGCUAAUACCGCAUACGUCCUGAGGGAGAAAGUGGGGGAUCUUCGGACCUCACGCUAUCAGAUGAGCCUAGGUCGGAUUAGCUAGUUGGUGGGGUAAAGGCCUACCAAGGCGACGAUCCGUAACUGGUCUGAGAGGAUGAUCAGUCACACUGGAACUGAGACACGGUCCAGACUCCUACGGGAGGCAGCAGUGGGGAAUAUUGGACAAUGGGCGAAAGCCUGAUCCAGCCAUGCCGCGUGUGUGAAGAAGGUCUUCGGAUUGUAAAGCACUUUAAGUUGGGAGGAAGGGCAGUAAGUUAAUACCUUGCUGUUUGACGUACCAACAGAAUAAGCACCGG